rnacentral:SRP_RNA from 1 species
AUGGGGACUAGCCCGGGUGGUUCGGCGUCACCUGUAACCUGAAACCGCCGGUAUGCGGGGGGCGAAGUUCGAGGAAGGCCGAAGCGGGCUGCGGGAGGCUGGAGUUUCUCUUCGUUGAAACCUCGUCCUGUGAGGUCGGUGGACAGGGAUCAAAGCCCCGGAGGGGGCGGCGACCUGCUGCUGCGGGGAACGGUUCAGGCCCGGAAGGGAGCAGACUUACCGUGGACAUCCGGCGCCCACAGGGUCGCGGGGCGGAGGAGGGAGGCUUUCUGCGAACGCAGUUACAUUCGGUCGACCAAGAACAUGUCCCCAC